rnacentral:lncRNA from 1 species
GCGCUGCGCCCUGCCCUUCCAGUGCGCCCACGGGCGGCCCUCCGUGGCGCCCUUGCUGGACGUCGCGCCCGUUGCUGUCCCGUCUCAGGCGGUGGACGUGGCCAAGCUGCGGCGCAUGAUGGCGGACGACGAGUAACUAUAAUGCGCGGAUGAAAAAUUUACAUUUUCUUAAAAAUUACGUAUAAAAAACUUUCUAUUUCCAUUAAAGAACAAUGAUUUUUUAAUCAUAAGGAAGCACCCCGUAGGAACUCUCAAACAUGGCUGAAGAAUUAGUAUUUUUUUUUGUAACAUAUAAAAAACUUUUUAACUUCUUAAAGGUCUAAAUGAUUAUUUUUGAUCAAAUAAGUUCGGUUUGUAUAAAGGGUCUAAAAAUCACCUCGCUUUGCGGACGCUCUUUACGCUGUUUCAUGUUCCGUUUUUAGUGUAAAGGAAAAGAUCCAUGAUAUUUGAGCCAUAAUGUAUAAUAAAUCAGUUAGAUA